rnacentral:rRNA from 1 species
UACGGAGGAUGCGAGCGUUACCCGGAUUUAUUGGGUUUAAAGGGUGCGUAGGCGGGAUGCCAAGUCAGCGGUAAAAAUGCGGUGCUCAACGCCGUCGAGCCGUUGAAACUGGCGUUCUUGAGUGGGCGAGAAGUAUGCGGAAUGCGUGGUGUAGCGGUGAUAUGCAUAGAUAUCACGCAGAACUCCGAUUGCGAGGGCAGCAUACCGGCGCCCUACUGACGCUGAGGCACGAAAGCGUGGGUAUCGAACAGG